GAUGAACGCUGGCGGCGUGCCUAAUACAUGCAAGUCGAGCGAACGGACGAGAAGCUUGCUUCUCUGAUGUUAGCGGCGGACGGGUGAGUAACACGUGGAUAACCUACCUAUAAGACUGGGAUAACUUCGGGAAACCGGAGCUAAUACCGUAUGAUAUUUUGAACCGCAUGGUUCAAAAGUGAAAGACGGUCUUGCUGUCACUUAUAGAUGGAUCCGCGCUGCAUUAGCUAGUUGGUAAGGUAACGGCUUACCAAGGCAACGAUGCAUAGCCGACCUGAGAGGGUGAUCGGCCACACUGGAACUGAGACACGGUCCAGACUCCUACGGGAGGCAGCAGUAGGGAAUCUUCCGCAAUGGGCGAAAGCCUGACGGAGCAACGCCGCGUGAGUGAUGAAGGUCUUCGGAUCGUAAAACUCUGUUAUUAGGGAAGAACAUAUGUGUAAGUAACUGUGCACAUCUUGACGGUACCUAAUCAGAAAUCCACGGCUAACUACGUG
rnacentral:rRNA from 1 species